rnacentral:lncRNA from 1 species
GCAUAGCGAUAAGAUUGCUCCAUUAUGACAUGAAAGUCAGAGGUUUGAAAUACAUAAAUGACCCCUCCAUAUAUAGAGAAAAGGCUGUUCAUAUCUGAGGCUUUCUCCACAAUAGCAGGAGCCUUGUGCAUUAGGUCGCCUAUAUACAUACGCAGAAACAAUGACCAUUUAAUAUUUUAUAUUAGUAUAAUAAUAUAUAGGUAAAAUAAAAUUUUUUAAACUCAGCAGCGCUUUUUCCUGUAGUUGAGUCAGAUACCUAAACAUGUGUCCACAUGUGAUAUCCUCAUGUUCCUUGCCACGCAAUAUAUUGGAAAGUGUUUGGUUGAUAUUGAAUUAGGAUGGAU